AAUUUACCUUUAUAUAAUAAUUGCAUAUCAUAUCAAUAUUGUGGAGCAAUAUAUAAUUUUACUGCUUCAAUGACGGAAGGUAUGAAAUAUACGUCAAUUUGACAAUUUCAAUUGACAAUAUGAAUUAUUUAAGAUAGUUGCAAUAUUUCUCCGCGACUCGCGCACGGUCUUUUCUCGUUUCCCUUCCAAGUACUUGCACACCGCGAAUACCCCCACUUAGCUUCCCCAUACAAUGUGCUAGAAAGAGACUGAAAGAACAACUGCAAGAGAUGUCGUCAGUACGCGCGUCCGAUAUUCUCACAAGAAUCUACAGGUCGAGCAAGUCUCGUAAAUUUCACGAUUGCGAGCCACGCUUCACGCAACCGUGUUUGCGUACUUGUGUUUCGAGUUGCGUGGUCGUGCGGAGUUAUAUUUACCAAAUUUAAAUGUAAUCGUUUCUACUGAUAAUAUAUACUAUUCUCAAUAUGGCUACUGGGUGUAAAAGAUAAAUCUUAUUCUAUCUGUUCUUCAUGAGUUUUAGAUAAUUUUAGUUGUAUUUCUUUGUAAUUUUGUGUUGUACAAAGAUUAAUUUAACAUUUUCUCUGGAAGUAUUAAUUUAGAAAGAUAAUAUGCUUCAUUGGUGUUGUGUUUUGAAGUGUGAAAUGCAAAGUAAUUGUGAUAAAGUCGAGAUAAAGUUCACUUUUAAACUGAACUAAAUAAGGUAUCUGAGAGACAACAAUGGUUAAAUGCAAUACAAUGUACAGGUUUUACUAGCGAAAUGAAAAUUUUCCUGUCCUGUCUGCUGUAAUCAUUUUAUAUCUGGAAAAUAGGAAAACCAGCCGACUUAAUCGAUAAUAACAAUCUCCAGAUUGGGUUCCUUCAAUAAAUAUGGGCUAUAAACACAAUGAAAUAAGUUCCCCAAAAUCUAAAAUGGAGUGCUAUCAAAGGAGAAUUAAAGGAAAAAAUAUUCAUAUUGAAAUUAUUUAUAAGGCACUGGACUGUCUUAAAUUCUACAAUAAUACUAGAAUCAGCUGAGAGAAGUGGUCUACAAAAAACCAGGAAGGAAACGGAAUAUGUGGCUACGAAAGGCAAAAGAAAGGUUUACAAAGCAAAUGUGACACAUUUUUUUGAAAUAUUUAGGAAUAUCAGUAAAUUGCAUUAAAAAAUGUAUGAAAAGAUUUUGUUCAAUAAAAAUGUUUAUAUUUA